UGGGCAACCUGACCCCAAGAACACUAGGGAAUAACUCCGGGGAAACCGGGGCUAAUACCGGAUACUCCGGCUGGAUCGCAUGGUCCGGCCGGGAAAGGUCCGCCGGAGAGGGAUGGGCCCGCGGCCUAUCAGCUUGUUGGUGGGGUCAUGGCUCACCAAGGCGACGACGGGUAGCUGGUCUGAGAGGACGACCAGCCACACUGGAACUGAGAUACGGUCCAGACUCCGUACGGGAGCA
rnacentral:rRNA from 1 species